AGAGGUUCUGCUCAGUCAUUGGUCGACCCUGCAGGGGCCCCUCCCCCAGGGAACCGAGGUCAAUGAGCAACCGGUAGAGGCCUGUUCCGUCUUGGUGGGUGGAGUGGCAGUCUUCAGGCAGAGAGUGAGCUAAGAGUUGGAUACCGGCUUUCUCCCGAGAGCUCUCCAGCUCACCUGGUCUAAGGCCAGCCUUCGGUGCUCUAUAACCCUUGCCAAGGCCACCAACUGGCCAAGCUGAGGCAUUGAGGUGGCCAUGAGCCUCUUUCCCAUCACUUCUGUGACCUAAUGGAAGUGACAGUCUGCGAUGGGACACCGUCUGUAAGGCUCGAGCCCUGCUGUUUGGGAGGACUGAGGAGCCUGAGGCCUAGUUGGUUCCUGGGCUCCUGGCUCCCUCAGUGGUGACUGUUGGGCAGGGUAUUGGGCCCUGGCCCUGAGGGAACUGCCAACUGAGAUCUGCCUUGUUAGUCCUGGUGGGCCGACCCAGACUGCGGGCUGGAGGAAUACUCCUGGGCAGGGUAACUGGGCCUUGCAGGGACCCCCUCUCCUUAGCCAGGGCCUAGACCUCAGAGGGUGAAUGUUGUACCUGGGAACCUUGCCCUUUCUUUCCAGAACAGAAAAUAGUAUUUGUUUGGUAGAGAUUUAUAGGAAUAUUGUUACCUGACCAUGAUGUCCAGAACAAAGACUCUGACACCAAGAAAUCUGCAGCAGCCAACCACAGCCCUCCUGCUGCUGCUGCUGCUGCUAAGUCGCUUCAGUAGGGUCCGACUCUGUGUGACCCCAUAGACCGCAGCCCACGAAGCUCCACCAUCCCUGGGAUUCUCCAGGAACUAUCUUCCUGGACUACUGUGGACACUGCUUUUCCUCUGAUGUCUGUCUUUGGUGCUUGCUUAGCUUAGAACUCAAAGAACUUGGGUCAUUGUACUCAACAUUUGAAUGGUCCGGAUUUUCAACUGUGUGAUUUUAAGUAAUUUUUUGGAUUCAUCUAAGAGCCUGAUCUAUGGAUUUAGUGUAUAUAUAUAUGUUCCAAUGCCAAUCAACUGAUUUACAAAUGCAUCUUGGAAGACAUUUUAUUAUGAAACUUUCUUCUGUGUGUUUAUGAAAGACAGCUAGUUAGCACCAGAUGCUAUAUCAUUUUUCCAGCAGCCAGCCCUUGAAGAGGAGUUGGAGUCAGCCACUGGCUAGAUUUUGGACACAUCAAGAAGUCCAUACUCAGUAUCAACAUUAUUACCUUGAUGGCAUCUCAAGUGGGAAGAAAGAUUAAGAAACACAGAGUACAUGGAUCACCCUGUAGAACAGGCCUAUGACAGAAAAUAACUCCUUGUUCCUUAUAUUUUACAAGAUGUUUUUUAAAAUUUCUAAAGCAGAGAACUAGUACUGUUUCCCUGAUUACAUAAGUUCACCUGCCAGGACAAAUGAAGAACAGAUGUGUCAUUUCCAGUAUUCAGAAAAUAAAUUCCAGCUUAUUUUUAAAACAUGCUCUCUGAAUGCCUCUGCAUGGUACAUAGGUGGCUGCUGUCAUGAGAACCACCUUCCUGGGUCACUAUACAAGCUGUUAUCCCUCUGGUUCCCCAUCUUCAGAGUUCUCAGUGACUUAAGCUUCAAAUACAUCUUCUAAGUCGCUUCAGUCAUGUCCGACUCUUUGCAACCCCAUGGACAGUAGCCUGCCAGGCUUCUCUGUCCAUGGAAUUCUCCAGGCAAGAAUACUGGAGUGGGUUGCCAUGGGCUUCUCCAGGGGAUCUUCCUGACCCAGGAAUCGAACCUGGGUCUCCCACAUUGCAGGC
ensembl:lncRNA